CAAGCCAUGCGGCCAAAAAUCAACAACAACAACAUAUGUAUACACACACGCAAGGAUUUUGUUUGUUUUUAUUUACACACGCUUUUUUUUUACCCAAAUUAAUUGACGUGCAGACUGGGGUCUCUGGGAUUGAGAGCUAGUGCCUUUUUUUUCCUCUUCUCAUUACAUUUGCAUUACUCCCCUCUCCCUCCCAGGUUCUCUUUUUCAUUCUCUCUCUCUCUCUCUCUCUCUCUCUCUCUCUCUCUCUCUCUCUCUCUCUCUCUCUCUCUCUCUCUCUCGCACACACACACACACACACACACACGCGCGCGCGCGCGCGCGCGCGGAGGGGAAGUAAGCAUUGAGAGUCGUCUACAGAAAUGGCAUCAUUUCUUACACUUCUGCAUUUUUUUUCCCACUCAAUGUCUUGUAUUGAGCCUUCUAAGUCAACUGCUAUAGAUCUAAUUAACUCAUUCAUCACUUCAUAUUCCAUGUCCUUUUUAAAAAAAUAGGUUAUUUCUCUUUUCUAAUUUGUAAGAGUUCUGUAUUUAGACAUUAACUGCCAUCACAUUGCAAAUAUUUUUCUUUAGAUCUAUUUUUUGUCCAUUGACUUUAUUAAUGGUAUCUUUGGCUAUACAAAGAUAAAACAUUUAUGAGGUUAAGAUGUUAUCUUUCCUUUCAAAGCAUCUGGACUUCUUAUCUUGAUUGAUUCAUUCAUCUUUUAUGUAAAUGUUUUCUUUUUUUUAAUUUUUAAAAUUUUUAUUUUUGGCUGUGUUGGGUCUUCAUUGCUGCGCGCGGGAUUUCUCUGGUUGCGUGUAAGCAGGGGCUACUCUUCAUUGCCGUGCGCAGGCUUCUCAUUGCAGAAGCUUCUCUUGUUGCAGAGCACAGACUCUAGGCGUGCGGGCUUCAGUAGUUGUGGCACGCGGGCUCAGUAGUUGUGGCACAGGACUCAGUAGUUGUGGCACGCGAGCUCUAGAGCACAGGCUCAGUAGUUGUGGUGCACAGGCUUAGUUGCUCCGUGGCAUGUGGGAUCUUCCCGGACCAGGGAUCGAACCCGUGUCCCCUGCAUUGGCAGGCGGAUUCUUAACCACUGGGCCACCAGGGAAGUUCCGCGCCCCCCCCCCCCGCCCC